GAAAAUUCUUGUUCAGAUAAUAAUAUCAAAACCCAGAAAGUAGUUCAAAGUCUCAUGAGCUCGGGCUUGCUUCAGCCUGCAGGGAUUGCAAUGACCUUGUCUAAUACUGGACAGCAAUGGGAUUUUCCGAAUGGCUGGCCCCCCCUUCAACACAUAAUCAUUGAAGGUCUCUUAAAGUCCGGACUAGAAGAGGCAAGAACCUUAGCAAAAGACAUUGCUAUUCGCUGGUUAAGAACUAACUAUGUCACUUACAAGAAAACCGGUGCUAUGUAUGAAAAAUAUGAUGUCACAAAAUGUGGAGCAUAUGGAGGUGGUGGU
rnacentral:misc_RNA from 1 species